AUUCUGCAGAAGUGAAGGCCUGGCU
rnacentral:piRNA from 1 species